rnacentral:tRNA from 1 species
AAGUGUGAAGCGUUUUCGCCCUUAGUUUCGACCUAAGCCACAGGUGACUUGUCACCCUCGCUUU